AGGGAUGAUGUGGUGCCAUAUUUGUGGCGUAAGAGAAGGAGGGGGACCUAUCGGCUUAUGAGUGAUAGUCCACAUCGAACACGUUCUUGUGGAGGUUGGUCGAGCUCCAAGACAGGGUCAGAGUUGGUCAAGAGAACCAAUGAUCUUGUGAAAAAUAAAUCCAUGCGACCUCUAUUAUAUGUGGCUACAGGGUGACCUCUAUUAUUUGUCGCUACAGGGUUAUUGUCAUAGUGGGAGAAACUGGUUAUGGUUAAAUGGUGCAAAUACCUCAGUAUCUUCCUGGAGCUAGAUAUACAGCAAGAGGAAAGUGCAGUCUACAUGCUCUGGUACAUAGUGAGAUGGCUAUGCUCUGCUCCUUUGCGGCAUUCGGUGGGAGUAGCACUGGCCACCGCAGCACAUCAACUUCGAGAAGAGGUGAGCCGCCUCUGAUCUACCUUGAGUAUAGGCGAGGAUUGGGAAUGCAGAUAACAUGUAAGCUAGAAGAGAAGUGUACUGCAUAUUUUUCAGAUGAAGUAGACCACAUGCCUAUACUGGUAAAUUGUUAGUAAUUGCUUCAAAAAUAUGUUAAAGUUAGUAA